CAGAACGAACGCUGGCGGCAUGCCUAACACAUGCAAGUCGAACGAGACCUUCGGGUCUAGUGGCGCACGGGUGCGUAACGCGUGAGAAUCUGCCCUCAGGAGGGGGGAUAACGGCUGGAAACGGCCGCUAAUACCCCAUAUGCCGAGAGGUGAAAUGAAUUUCGCCUGAGGAUGAGCUCGCGUCUGAUUAGCUAGUUGGUGGGGUAAGAGCCUACCAAGGCUUCGAUCAGUAGCUGGUCUGAGAGGAUGAUCAGCCACACUGGGACUGAGACACGGCCCAGACUCCUACGGGAGGCAGCAGUGGGGAAUUUUCCGCAAUGGGCGAAAGCCUGACGGAGCAACGCCGCGUGAGGGAUGAAGGCCUCUGGGCUGUAAACCUCUUUUAUCAAGGAAGAAGAUCUGACGGUACUUGAUGAAUAAGCCACGGCUAAUUCCGUG
rnacentral:rRNA from 1 species